AACUAAAGGACACUUCCAAGUCAACUGCCCUUGUCCUUGUUGGGGACUUCAACUUGCCAGAUAUUAAUUGGGAGCAUCACAUAGCUGGGACAACCUGGGCCAGAAGAUUCCUAAAACACCUGGAUGAGAACUUUAUGGAACAGAUCCUAAGGGAGCUGACUCAGAAAGGAGUAAAAGUGCCAGCAAAGCCUCAACUCUGAACAUGAGGAAAGCAGACUUCAGGCCGUUCAGGGAAUUACCACAAGGUUGACGGGGAGAAGCUGGAACUAUGACCUUGUCUGGCUCCAUGACCAGGACUACACAGUGCCUUACAGCACCAGGCUGAAGGCAGAGGUUUCAGUAGCAUCGGUAGAAGAAAAUGAUCUCAUGGAGGAUUCCAGCUACUAGUGAUAAAUAAGAAGCUACCUGGAAUUAGCUCCAGUGGAAAGGCAAUACAGCAGCAAGGA